rnacentral:rRNA from 2 species
CGCUGGCGGCGUGCCUAAUGCAUGCAAGUCGAGCGGGCUACGAUCUUCGGAUUGUAGCUUAGCGGCGAACGGGUGAGUAACACGUAGGUAAUCUACCCUUCAGAGGAGGACAACCUCAGGAAACUGAGGCUAAACCUUCAUACGUUCACUGGUAGGGAUACUGGUGAAGAAAGAGUUACCUUAAAGGUAGCUGCUGAAGGAUGAGCCUGCGGCCCAUCAGGUAGUUGGUGAGGUAACGGCUCACCAAGCCGAAGACGGGUAACCGGUCUGAGAGGAUGUCCGGUCACACUGGGACUGAGACACGGCCCAGA